GCCGGAGUGGUGAAAUCGGUAGACACGAGGGACUCAAAAUCCCUUGACCUUGCGUCGUGUCGGUUCGAGUCCGACCUCCGGCA
rnacentral:tRNA from 1 species